AGUCGCAUGGUCUAAUGGUUAUGAUUUCUCGUUCACAACAUUGUGGAUCUAUGCUUAUUGCACCGAGAAGGUUCUGAGUUCGAUCCUCAGUGCGACUA